GAUGAAGAACGUAGCGAAAUGCGAUACGUAAUGUGAAUUGCAAAUUCAGUGAAUCAUCGAGUCUUUGAACGCACAUUGCGCCCCCUGGUAUUCCGGGGGGCAUGCCUGUCCGAGCGUCAUUGCUGCCCUCAAGCACGGCUUGUGUGUUGGGCCCCGUCCUCCGAUUCCGGGGGACGGGCCCGAAAGGCAGCGGCGGCACCGCGUCUGGUCCUCGAGCGUAUGGGGCUUUGUCACCCGCUCUGUAGGCCCGGCCGGCGCUUGCCGAUCAACCCAAAUUUUUAUCCAGGUUGACCUCGGAUCAGGUAGGGAUACCCGCUGAACUUAAGCAUAUCAAUAAGCGGAGGA
rnacentral:misc_RNA from 1 species